UAUAGCUAAAAGAAAAACGUUCAUCUGGCCCUGUCAUUAGCUUCAACAACUAGGGCUUUUAGUUAUGCUAACGCUGGAACAAUCCUGGAUGGUCCAAGGAAGAACUUUAUGAAUGCUGACAGGUGAUAUGCUCUCACUCAUCGAUGGUCCAGGUGGAUUAAGCAAAAAGAUAUUAUCAAUGGUUAUGUGUGGCUUAGUUAAAUGUGUCACUCUGGCUUGUAUAACAUGUUGAAGUAUGACAGAAUACUUGGAUCCUCAGCACCACCUGAAAGAGUAUCGAUGCGACUCUUCAUUUAUUUAUAAAUGAUAUGGAAAAAAGAAGAAAACAUAGUGUGGACACUUGUUUAUUUCAUCCAAAAAUAAAUCAUU